rnacentral:rRNA from 1 species
GGGUUGUGAGGUUAAGCGACUAAGCGUACACGGUGGAUGCCCUGGCAGUCAGAGGCGAUGAAGGACGUGCUAAUCUGCGAUAAGCGCCGGUAAGGUGAUAUGAACCGUUAUAACCGGCGAUUUCCGAAUGGGGAAACCCAGUGUGAUUCGUCACACUAUCAUUAACUGAAUCCAUAGGUUAAUGAGGCGAACCGGGGGAACUGAAACAUCUAAGUACCCCGAGGAAAAGAAAUCAACCGAGAUUCCCCCAGUAGCGGCGAGCGAACGGGGAGGAGCCCAGAGCCUGAAUCAGCAUGUGUGUUAGUGGAAGCGUCUGGAAAGGCGCGCGAUACAGGGUGACAGCCCCGUACACAAAAGCGCAUGUGCUGUGAGCUCGAUGAGUAGGGCGGGACACGUGGUAUCCUGUCUGAAUAUGGGGGGACCAUCCUCCAAGGCUAAAUACUCCUGACUGACCGAUAGUGAACCAGUACCGUGAGGGAAAGGCGAAAAGAACCCCGGCGAGGGGAGUGAAAAAGAUCCUGAAACCGUGUACGUACAAGCAGUGGGAGCACCCUUCGGGGUGUGACUGCGUACCUUUUGUAUAAUGGGUCAGCGACUUAUAUUCUGUAGCAAGGUUAACCGUAUAGGGGAGCCGGAGGGAAACCGAGUCUUAACCGGGCGUUAAGUUGCAGGGUAUAGACCCGAAACCCGGUGAUCUAGCCAUGGGCAGGUUGAAGGUUGGGUAACACUAACUGGAGGACCGAACCGACUAAUGUUGAAAAAUUAGCGGAUGACCUGUGGCUGGGGGUGAAAGGCCAAUCAAACCGGGAGAUAGCUGGUUCUCCCCGAAAGCUAUUUAGGUAGCGCCUCGUGAAUUCAUCUCCGGGGGUAGAGCACUGUUUCGGCUAGGGGGCCAUCCCGGCUUACCAACCCGAUGCAAACUGCGAAUACCGGAGAAUGUUAUCACGGGAGACACACGGCGGGUGCUAACGUCCGUCGUGAAGAGGGAAACAACCCAGACCGCCAGCUAAGGUCCCAAAGUCAUGGUUAAGUGGGAAACGAUGUGGGAAGGCCCAGACAGCCAGGAUGUUGGCUUAGAAGCAGCCAUCAUUUAAAGAAAGCGUAAUAGCUCACUGGUCGAGUCGGCCUGCGCGGAAGAUGUAACGGGGCUAAACCAUGCACCGAAGCUGCGGCAGCGAACGUAUCACCCAAGACAACUUUACGGAGUUGACGAUUGACGGAGCGAAGCGACGUCAAAGCGUUCAUUAAAGUCGAGUUGGCUUAGGGAUACGUUCGUUGGGUAGGGGAGCGUUCUGUAAGCCUGUGAAGGUGUGUCGUGAGGCAUGCUGGAGGUAUCAGAAGUGCGAAUGCUGACAUAAGUAACGAUAAAGCGGGUGAAAAGCCCGCUCGCCGGAAGACCAAGGGUUCCUGUCCAACGUUAAUCGGGGCAGGGUGAGUCGACCCCUAAGGCGAGGCCGAAAGGCGUAGUCGAUGGGAAACGGGUUAAUAUUCCCGUACUUGGUGUUACUGCGAAGGGGGGACGGAGAAGGCUAUGUUGGCCGGGCGACGGUUGUCCCGGUUUAAGCGUGUAGGUGUGUGUUCCAGGUAAAUCCGGUUCACUUUAACACUGAGGCGUGACGACGAGGCACUACGGUGCUGAAGCAACAAAUGCCCUGCUUCCAGGAAAAGCCUCUAAGCAUCAGGUAACACGAAAUCGUACCCCAAACCGACACAGGUGGUCAGGUAGAGAAUACCAAGGCGCUUGAGAGAACUCGGGUGAAGGAACUAGGCAAAAUGGUGCCGU